rnacentral:tRNA from 1 species
GGGGAGAUGGCUCAAUGGGUAAGAGCUCUGACUGCUCUUCUGAAGGUCCCGAGUUCAAAUCCCAGCAACCACA